ACGUCACCUGAUGUAGGCCGUGCCCGGUGCUUAUUUGUUACUUUUGGAAAUACAAAUUGCACUAGUCCCGGCCUGCAGUGAGUGUCAA
rnacentral:pre_miRNA from 1 species